rnacentral:rRNA from 1 species
GUGUCAGCAGCCGCGGUAAUACAGAGGGGGCUAGCGUUGUUCGGAAUUACUGGGCGUAAAGGGCGCGUAGGUGGCCUGUUAAGUCGAACGUGAAAUCCCCGGGCUCAACCCGGGAACUGCGUCCGAGACUGGCAGGCUCGAAUCCGGGAGAGGGAUGUGGAAUUCCAGGUGUAGCGGUGAAAUGCGUAGAUAUCUGGAGGAACACCGGUGGCGAAGGCGGCAUCCUGGACCGGUAUUGACGCUGAGGCGCGAAAGCCAGGGGAGCAAACGGGAUUAGAAACCCCCGUAGUCC